rnacentral:rRNA from 1 species
AACGAACGCUGGCGGCAUGCCUAACACAUGCAAGUCGAACGAGACCUUCGGGUCUAGUGGCGCACGGGUGCGUAACGCGUGGGAACCUGCCCUUAGGUUCGGAAUAACUCCCCGAAAGGGGUGCUAAUACCGGAUAAUGUCUUCGGACCAAAGAUUUAUCGGCUUUGGAUGGGCCCGCGUUGGAUUAGCUAGUUGGUAGGGUAAAAGCCUACCAAGGCGACGAUCCAUAGCUGGUCUGAGAGGAUGAUCAGCCACACUGGGACUGAGACACGGCCCAGACUCCUACGGGAGGCAGCAGUGGGGAAUAUUGAACAAUGGGCGAAAGACUGAUCCAGCAAUGCCGCGUGAGUGAUGAAGGCCUUAGGGUUGUAAAGCUCUUUUACCCGGGAUGAUAAUGACAGUACCGGGAGAAUAAGCUCCGGCUAACUCCGUG